GAGAGAGAGAGAGAGAGAGAGAGACCCUGUAUGUUGCCUUGAGCUCCUGGGAGGAAUGGCCGAACAAGAGAACUCUGCAUUGUACAAAAUUAAUGGAAGUUUCUCAGAUGGGGCUGGAACUCUUGACGGGCCCUGCUUCAGCGCCGAAAUCCGUGCAGUGGAAAUGCUAAUUAUCAACUGGCGGUCAUUAAUGCAAGCAUUUCCCCUCAUUUCGAACAUGUUCUUUUGAUUUUGCAUUAAUGGGCACCUUCUGUUGCGUCACACGGGCGGGGAGAAGAAGCGGAGUAGGGAAGAAGAAGCCCCCCUCCUCUGCGUUUCUGAGUAAGGGGGGCAAUUGCGAGUUGUCCCUUAAGUGCCCAUUCCUGGAACGAGGAACUUGGAGGCCGGUUCCUUGGGCAGCGCGCAAGCUUCCCGCACGCGACGCGCUGCAAAACUGCUGCGCCCCCGCCUCCCCCCCCCCCCGCCGGGAAGCCCGCGUGCCCGGAGCUGGAGCUGCGCGUUGCUCUGGCUCGGAAGAGCUCCGCACUUCCCAAAUCUUACUCUUCAUUUGGUUCCUUGUCUUAUUUUUUUAAUUACUCGAUUUUUUGGGGGGGGGCUUUUUUCUCCCACCCUUCGCUGCAAAAAGAAAUCGAGAGUUUUGGUGGGGGUUUACCCCCAUUAAACAGCCAAAGAGAGGCAUUCACAGCUUUGCAAACUGAGUAGAUUUCUUUCUCCAUGCUCAAACCUUUCGGGGUUCUCCAGCAAGAAAAGAUUCGGCUGCUUUGUAGCAAAGUGCAAUGAAGAGCCAAUUCCAACAUUCAGCUUCAUCGGAUGGCUGUGGGUUCUAAUAUUACAAAGAGGGUGAGAGAGAGAGAUGCUCUGUGUCCACUUUCUUUAUCCUCUGAAUGGUCUUCUUUCUGGUCUUCUUACCCCAGAUGUUUACUUGGAAGAAGGGUCCUCUUUCUUCACUGAUACAUAUUCCACUUAAUGUGAAGAUAUCACAGGCUUUCUCUGGCGGUUUAAUUAUAGACUGGCAGCCGCUCUUCAUGGCUAUACUUCGUUGGGGAGCUGACAGUCUGUUAGCAGGAAGAACCUCUGAUAUGAAUUUGAGUCAGCACGCUUCCAAGAACUGCUUUCAA